rnacentral:rRNA from 1 species
UACGGGAGGGUGCGAGCGUUGUCCGGAAUCACUGGGCGUAAGGGCGCGUAGGCGGCCGGAGAAGUCGGUGGUGGAAAGCUCGGGGCUCAACUCCGACGUCGGCCACCGAUACUGUUCGGCUCGGAGUUUGGUAGAGGCAGUGGAAUUCCGGGUGUAGCGGUGGAAUGCGUAGAGAUCCGGAAGAACACCGGUGGCGAAGGCGGUCUGCUGGGCCAGACUGACGCUGAGGAGCGAAAGCAUGGGGAGCGAAC